rnacentral:antisense_RNA from 1 species
UGUAGGAGCUGCCGAAGGCUGCGAUCUUUUGAUCUUGAUCUUAUACAAAGCAAGAUCAAAAGAUCGCAGCCUUCGGCAGCUCCUACA